ensembl:lncRNA
AAAAAAGAUUUUAAGAUUAAUUUUUUUGCUCCUCUCACUCUAGCAGUUGAGCUGUCUCACUCUAGCCCCAACAUUCCGUCCCAUACACACCCAUUAUAAACUCUGAAACGGGUGAAAAAACAUCAUGAAACUUAAACUGGAACUGAAGAAAAAGUAUAAUAGAUAUUGAAAAGAUAAAUACAAGUUGAAUAGUUGAAUGUCUUGUCUUCGUUUUAAAGUUUGAAUGGUGGCUCUAUGUCAAUGUAUGUGGAAGUAGUAAGAGUUUAAAAAUGAGUAAGUUGAAUGAGGAUUUGAAGGGUCUCCCCAUUGAAAUACAUUAUAAAUUUUUGUUGAAUAAAGUUGAAUAAAAUUAAAAAUAUAAAUGUUAAAAAUAUGAAAAAUAGAAGCAGUGUUGUCCAAAAGAAUAGGAAUCUAACGGUGUUUGAAUGGUUUUUCUAAGUUGAACGGUUUUGAAGGAGUAGGCUUUCAAAAAACGUACGGAAUAAGAAAAUAUAAUAAUAAAGAUUAGAAGAACAAUACUGUGAAUGCUUUUCAAGCAUUCACACUAACUAGAAAUGCAUUUUUCUGAAGAAACUGCAGUGUGAAUGCUUGAAUCUGAAUGUAUGCACUGAAAUGAAUUAAUUACUGAAUUUAAGUUAAAAAUCUUGAAUGAGAUAAAAAAAAAAAAAACCCCGAAUUUAACCUGAAAACAAAAGUGCUGAACUGCUAAAAGCUGAAGGUUACACAGAAGAAGAAGUUGGAAAAAAGCUGAAAAUGUUUUAAAUUGUAAAUUAGAAA